CCCAACCACAAUAUCUUUUCCUGUAACUCCCAGAUUCCACAUAUAUCCAUUAGAUGCAGUAGUAAUAUAUAAAUGCAGAUAUAUUGCCCAUGAAGCUCAGCUUUAUUGGAAACAUUUUUAAUAUUUUAUUGUAGAUUAAUUUAGUGUAAAAGUCUAUACUAUGAAAUGUACAAGUCAUUAUCUAUUUUGUUGUAGCUUUCAACAAUAAUACUCCCUGAAGACUGCAGUGAUUUUCUCAGGGACAGUCAGAGAAUGCAAGAGAGCACAAGAGAAUAGGUCCAGGAGAAUAUUGCACGGUCACAAAAAAAAAUGACAGGCAUUUGCAAAAAGAGUUCAGAAAAAGUACAGAAAUGUGGAGUUUAAAGAGGGAGAUGAAGUACUCUUACUGAACAUGAGAAAGAGAAGCAGGAAAGGAGGGAGAAUGGAAGCAGACUACACUGGAACCUACACAAUUAAGGAGAUUUCAGGAAAGACAACAACUUUACUAACACCACAGGGUGUCUGUCUUAAAACAAAAUAUAACAUCAGUCACCUGAAACCUUAUAAAAAAAGUAGUGCCAGCUCUCAGGUCCCAGCCCCAAGCCAGCUCUCAGGUCCCAGCCCCAAGCCAGCUCUCAGGUCCCAGCCCCAAGCCAGCUCUCAGGUCCCAGCCCCAAGCCAGCUCUCAGGUCCCAGCCCCAAGCCAGCUCUCAGGUCCCAGCCCCAAGCCAGCUCUCAGGUCCCAGCCCCAAGCCAGCUCUCAGGUCCCAGCCCCAAGCCAGCUCUCAGGUCCCAGCCCCAAGCCAGCUCUCAGGUCCCAGCCCCAAGCCAGCUCUCAGGUCCCAGCCCCAAGCCAGCUCUCAGGUCCCAGCCCCAAGCCAGCUCUCAGGUCCCAGCCCCAAGCCAGCUCUCAGGUCCCAGCCCCAAGCCAGCUCUCAGGUCCCAGCCCCAAGCCAGCUCUCAGGUCCCAGCCCCAAGCCAGCUCUCAGGUCCCAGCCCCAAGCCAGCUCUCAGGUCCCAGCCCCAAGCCAGCUCUCAGGUCCCAGCCCCAAGCCAGCUCUCAGGUCCCAGCCCCAAGCCAGCUCUCAGGUCCCAGCCCCAAGCCAGCUCUCAGGUCCCAGCCCCAAGCCAGCUCUCAGGUCCCAGCCCCAAGCCAGCUCUCAGGUCCCAGCCCCAAGCCAGCUCUCAGGUCCCAGCCCCAAGCCAGCUCUCAGGUCCCAGCCCCAAGCCAGCUCUCAGGUCCCAGCCCCAAGCCAGCUCUCAGGUCCCAGCCCCAAGCCAGCUCUCAGGUCCCAGCCCCAAGCCAGCUCUCAGGUCCCAGCCCCAAGCCAGCUCUCAGGUCCCAGCCCCAAGCCAGCUCUCAGGUCCCAGCCCCAACCAGCUCUCAGGUCCCAGCCCAAGCCAGGUCUCAGGUCCCAGCUCAAGCCAGUUCUCUGGUACCUGUCUGGAGUAGUGCUCAAGAGCAAGGUGCAAUAGAAACUCAUAAGUUAGUUCCGACCUGUUGGUCGUUGGUUUAGACCGGUUGGUCAUCAAGUUGCAUGUUUCUCCCAUGACCCGUUCCUGGUCAUGGUUGCAUGUGUUCUUUGUUGAAAAUGUUAAUGGUACAGUUUUUCAUCUAAAUAUUAACAAGAAUAAUUUGAAAUGUUCUGUGUUGCAGUCGAAAAACUUUGGUCUUCUAAAGAUACAGGACAAGUGGAAGCGGUCGUGGGACCAUACAAAAUGUAUGAUACCUCUUUUACAACACUAUCGGGACAUGGCUGGCUUUCAGAUGAGAUCAUUGAUGCAUACCUGCACUGCAUUAUGAAAUUAGCCAAGGUAAUAAAUGAUAAUUUCUGUGUUUUCAUUCUGUUGUUAGAAGUACUGGAUUUUAACAGACCAAUACUGUUACAGAUACCUGUGCAUUGUUUGAACGCUGUACUUGGGUCCUCUGUCUUUCAUCGUGGCCUUUUUAGAGUUGUUCAAAAGGUUAUAUGGUUUUAUUACAGACUAUGUAACCUUAUACACAUGCAUGUUGGAACUUUGGAUUUUAAGUGCUCUCUUCUAUUUUUAGAUGAAGUUACCCACAGCCUCAACUUGGAUUUGUCCUGUAAACGUUGGAGGUCACUGGAUUUUAGUGGUACUUUUCUUGAUUCUGUAUUUACCACAAACUUUAUUGGUAGUUUUUGGUGUCUAUAAAAUCUUUAGGGAUUGUUUUAGGUUUAACUAAUACAUUUUAACAGAUUGUCAAAAUGGAUGAAAAAUCCCUCCUUGUGUUAGACCCCCUCGGUAAUGAAAAUAUGUACCAGAGAAAAAUGCUUCGGAAUUGGAGGUGAUGUAAAACAAGCCUUUCUUACUGUGUUUGUAGACUUUUGUAUUUGAAUAUGUUUCUGAACUAAUGACUUGUACAAUAACAGAAAUUUUUGGAAGACAAGAAAUGUCAGUGAAGGCCCGUGGACGAUCCAAACUGCAAAACACAAUCUGCAGCAGGACGGCUCUAGUUGUGGAGUCUUAAUUUUGAUGUUUGCAGAGCUCAUUCUCCAAGGCAGAAGUGUCUGCGUUGCUC